rnacentral:rRNA from 1 species
UACGGAGGGUGCGAGCGUUAAUCGGAAUUACUGGGCGUAAAGCGUGCGCAGGCGGUUUGUUAAGCGAGAUGUGAAAGCCCCGGGCUCAACCUGGGAACCGCAUUUCGAACUGGCAAACUAGAGUCUUGUAGAGGGGGGUAGAAUUCCAGGUGUAGCGGUGAAAUGCGUAGAUAUAUGGAGGAACACCGGUGGCGAAAGCGGCUCUCUGGACUGUAACUGACACUGAGGCUCGGAAGCGUGGGUAGCAAACAGG